AAUCCAUUGUGUGAGAAUUUUUUAAUCAACAUUUUGAAACGUUCACGCGCCUCAUAAAAAAUUUCUCCCUCAAUCUGUCUGAAGACAGCGAUGUCUCUUCUUUGUUGGACU
rnacentral:snoRNA from 1 species